GAUGAAGAACGUAGCGAAAUGCGAAAAGUAGUGUGAAUUGCAGAAUUCAGUGAAUCAUCGAAUCUUUGAACGCACAUUGCGCCCCUUGGUAUUCCAUGGGGCAUGCCUGUUCGAGCGUCAUUUGUACCUUCAAGCACUGCUUGGUGUUGGGUGUUUGUCCCCGUUUCUACACGUGGACUCGCCUUAAAGUGAUUGGCAGCCGGCGUACUCGCCUCGGAGCGCAGCACAUUUUGCGCUCCUUGACCUGAACGGUGGCGUCCACUAAGCCUAUACUUUUGCUCUUGACCUCGGAUCAGGUAGGGAUACCCGCUGAACUUAAGCUUAUCAAUAAGCGGAGGA
rnacentral:misc_RNA from 1 species